GGCGGAGUAACUCAGUGGUAGAGUAAUUGAAUCAUAAUCAACAAGUCAGGGGUUCGAUUCCCUUUUCCGUCA
rnacentral:tRNA from 1 species